GGUUAAGCGACUAAGCGUACACGGUGGAUGCCCUGGCAGUCAGAGGCGAUGAAGGACGUGCUAAUCUGCGAUAAGCGUCGGUAAGGUGAUAUGAACCGUUAUAACCGGCGAUUUCCGAAUGGGGAAACCCAGUGUGAUUCGUCACACUAUCAUUAACUGAAUCCAUAGGUUAAUGAGGCGAACCGGGGGAACUGAAACAUCUAAGUACCCCGAGGAAAAGAAAUCAACCGAGAUUCCCCCAGUAGCGGCGAGCGAACGGGGAGCAGCCCAGAGCCUGAAUCAGUGUGUGUGUUAGUGGAAGCGUCUGGAAAGGCGCGCGAUACAGGGUGACAGCCCCGUACACAAAAAUGCACAUGCUGUGAGCUCGAUGAGUAGGGCGGGACACGUGGUAUCCUGUCUGAAUAUGGGGGGACCAUCCUCCAAGGCUAAAUACUCCUGACUGACCGAUAGUGAACCAGUACCGUGAGGGAAAGGCGAAAAGAACCCCGGCGAGGGGAGUGAAAAAGAACCUGAAACCGUGUACGUACAAGCAGUGGGAGCACGCUUAGGCGUGUGACUGCGUACCUUUUGUAUAAUGGGUCAGCGACUUAUAUUCUGUAGCAAGGUUAACCGAAUAGGGGAGCCGAAGGGAAACCGAGUCUUAACUGGGCGUUAAGUUGCAGGGUAUAGACCCGAAACCCGGUGAUCUAGCCAUGGGCAGGUUGAAGGUUGGGUAACACUAACUGGAGGACCGAACCGACUAAUGUUGAAAAAUUAGCGGAUGACUUGUGGCUGGGGGUGAAAGGCCAAUCAAACCGGGAGAUAGCUGGUUCUCCCCGAAAGCUAUUUAGGUAGCGCCUCGUGAAUUCAUCUCCGGGGGUAGAGCACUGUUUCGGCAAGGGGGUCAUCCCGACUUACCAACCCGAUGCAAACUGCGAAUACCGGAGAAUGUUAUCACGGGAGACACACGGCGGGUGCUAACGUCCGUCGUGAAGAGGGAAACAACCCAGACCGCCAGCUAAGGUCCCAAAGUCAUGGUUAAGUGGGAAACGAUGUGGGAAGGCCCAGACAGCCAGGAUGUUGGCUUAGAAGCAGCCAUCAUUUAAAGAAAGCGUAAUAGCUCACUGGUCGAGUCGGCCUGCGCGGAAGAUGUAACGGGGCUAAACCAUGCACCGAAGCUGCGGCAGCGACACUAUGUGUUGUUGGGUAGGGGAGCGUUCUGUAAGCCUGUGAAGGUGUACUGUGAGGUAUGCUGGAGGUAUCAGAAGUGCGAAUGCUGACAUAAGUAACGAUAAAGCGGGUGAAAAGCCCGCUCGCCGGAAGACCAAGGGUUCCUGUCCAACGUUAAUCGGGGCAGGGUGAGUCGACCCCUAAGGCGAGGCCGAAAGGCGUAGUCGAUGGGAAACAGGUUAAUAUUCCUGUACUUGGUGUUACUGCGAAGGGGGGACGGAGAAGGCUAUGUUGGCCGGGCGACGGUUGUCCCGGUUUAAGCGUGUAGGCUGGUUUUCCAGGCAAAUCCGGAAAAUCAAGGCUGAGGCGUGAUGACGAGGCACUACGGUGCUGAAGCAACAAAUGCCCUGCUUCCAGGAAAAGCCUCUAAGCAUCAGGUAACAUCAAAUCGUACCCCAAACCGACACAGGUGGUCAGGUAGAGAAUACCAAGGCGCUUGAGAGAACUCGGGUGAAGGAACUAGGCAAAAUGGUGCCGUAACUUCGGGAGAAGGCACGCUGAUAUGUAGGUGAAGUCCCUCGCGGAUGGAGCUGAAAUCAGUCGAAGAUACCAGCUGGCUGCAACUGUUUAUUAAAAACACAGCACUGUGCAAACACGAAAGUGGACGUAUACGGUGUGACGCCUGCCCGGUGCCGGAAGGUUAAUUGAUGGGGUCAGCGCAAGCGAAGCUCUUGAUCGAAGCCCCGGUAAACGGCGGCCGUAACUAUAACGGUCCUAAGGUAGCGAAAUUCCUUGUCGGGUAAGUUCCGACCUGCACGAAUGGCGUAAUGAUGGCCAGGCUGUCUCCACCCGAGACUCAGUGAAAUUGAACUCGCUGUGAAGAUGCAGUGUACCCGCGGCAAGACGGAAAGACCCCGUGAACCUUUACUAUAGCUUGACACUGAACAUUGAGCCUUGAUGUGUAGGAUAGGUGGGAGGCUUUGAAGUGUGGACGCCAGUCUGCAUGGAGCCGACCUUGAAAUACCACCCUUUAAUGUUUGAUGUUCUAACGUUGACCCGUGAUCCGGGUUGCGGACAGUGUCUGGUGGGUAGUUUGACUGGGGCGGUCUCCUCCUAAAGAGUAACGGAGGAGCACGAAGGUUGGCUAAUCCUGGUCGGACAUCAGGAGGUUAGUGCAAUGGCAUAAGCCAGCUUGACUGCGAGCGUGACGGCGCGAGCAGGUGCGAAAGCAGGUCAUAGUGAUCCGGUGGUUCUGAAUGGAAGGGCCAUCGCUCAACGGAUAAAAGGUACUCCGGGGAUAACAGGCUGAUACCGCCCAAGAGUUCAUAUCGACGGCGGUGUUUGGCACCUCGAUGUCGGCUCAUCACAUCCUGGGGCUGAAGUAGGUCCCAAGGGUAUGGCUGUUCGCCAUUUAAAGUGGUACGCGAGCUGGGUUUAGAACGUCGUGAGACAGUUCGGUCCCUAUCUGCCGUGGGCGCUGGAGAACUGAGGGGGGCUGCUCCUAGUACGAGAGGACCGGAGUGGACGCAUCACUGGUGUUCGGGUUGUCAUGCCAAUGGCACUGCCCGGUAGCUAAAUGCGGAAGAGAUAAGUGCUGAAAGCAUCUAAGCACGAAACUUGCCCCGAGAUGAGUUCUCCCUGACUCCUUGAGAGUCCUGAAGGAACGUUGAAGACGACGACGUUGAUAGGCCGGGUGUGUAAGCGCAGCGAUGCGUUGAGCUAACCGGUACUAAUGAACCGUGAGGCUUAACCUU
rnacentral:rRNA from 3 species